GGUGAGAGAAAAGGGUUGGGCCCAGUCGUCAUACACAGAGAAAGAAGGGGAAAGGGAGAGGAUGCGGGGCUGGGCUAAGCUGCUGCGAGUUGGGCCAAGAGAGGGGAAGUGGGCCGAGGGGAGAGGGUUUGGGGCCUGGGGCCGAAAUAGAGAGAGGAGAGCUGGGCCUUCGCGCCAAAAGUAGUGGGGAAGUUUUCCCUUUUCUUUUCUUUUCUUUUGUUUUCUUUUUGGAUUAUUUUGUCUAAAGCCUAUUUCAAAACAAAUUUUGAAAACCAUCUUAAAAUCAGUUUGAAUCAUUUUGUAUUUUGGGAUCAAAUCACUCAGUACAACAAAAUAAAUUCUCCAGCAUGAGUGCACAUCCA
rnacentral:lncRNA from 1 species